rnacentral:lncRNA from 1 species
GCAACAACACAUUCAGUUCCCAACCUCCCUACUUUUCUUCCUCAUCUGCAUUGCUGGCUUUUCUUCUUGAGACAAAGGUAGAAACCACAAACAGACCACUUACAGGCCAUAUCUAAAUGAAGAAAAAAGAAGUCUUAUCUCGCAAUGGGUUUUCCAACACCAAUGCUAUUAUGUGUACCUACAUCAUUCAAAGGGCAUUGUUAUAGAGGGGUUUAGUGAACAUAUUGGUAACUGUGAGUGGUUCUAUGCUGCCAUUUUAGGAGAUUUCUUGCUUCAUCUUUCCACAAAUUUUGUGCUUGUUUAGCAACCAAAAUGCGGUUUUAGUGGGCAUUUAGCUUUUCUUAGUCGGUCUAAACAUAUUCUUAGCAAAUCAACUUUCGCAACAAGCUGUCCACACUAUCAAGGCUUAUCCGCGUUGGCCAAGGUAGAAAAGGCAAACUUCCACAAGACCUUGUUUGAUUCACGGGCAGUGAUAAUGACUACGUACUGCAGAGUGAGUGGCGAGCUAUGAGCAGACAGGCAGCACCCAGCAUUGAAGGUGAGAAUGUGAGAAAGUACAUGCUAAAAAUUCUGGCAUGGCAGUAUUGUCUGGCCUCUUUCAAAUGUUAGGAGUGCCAUAGGAGAUGGGAAAUCAUGACUGAUGGACCAUAACUGGGCUCUUGUAGACACACAAGCUUGGGUACUACAGCAGUUGAAUGCUACUUUGCAGGCUCAUUCAUGCACAAGCUGUAAUCUAGGCAGAUUUCCUUCUCAUGUUUCUUAGUCUUCUUCCUCGGCUUUAGUCCCAUUUGGCUGCAGGGUCAGAUCUUCUAGAUCUCAGCCUCCAUUUUUCUCGAUCGAGGGCCUGGUUUGGUAGUACUAUAGUGACACCAGCAGCAGCAUUGGUGUUGCAAAACCCAGUGUCAGAUCAGAUUAAUUUUUUCCUGAUUAUAGACUUGACCUGCAAGUGAUCUAUUUGUAGAGGUAAAUCGGUAUGCUUUAUUUGUGCUUUCUACUAUAAUAUAUUUGCAUAAACAGUUCGAAGAAUCUAGUGGGCCUUAAAAUGUUUUUGAUGGCAACAAUGGGGAAAGCAGUUUGUUGGUUAGGAGACGGAUUCAACCAGUGCCACCUCCUCAAAAUUCAGCCAUGAUGCAAAUAAAAUCGACCCUCAGAUUAAUUCGACAGCAUGCGCUCUGGCAAACCCUCUGAUACAGCUAGCCUCAGCAGUUCUCUUAUUAAGGUAGCCUUGAAUGUAAGC